rnacentral:rRNA from 1 species
GACAAACUCCGAAUGCCAAUUAAUUUAACUUGGGAGUCAGAACAUGGGUGAUAAGGUCCGUGUUCGAAAGGGAAACAGCCCAGACCACCAGCUAAGGUCCCAAAAUAUAUGUUAAGUGGAAAAGGAUGUGGCGUUGCCCAGACAACUAGGAUGUUGGCUUAGAAGCAGCCAUCAUUUAAAGAGUGCGUAAUAGCUCACUAGUCGAGUGACACUGCGCCGAAAAUGUACCGGGGCUAAACAUAUUACCGAAGCUGUGGAUUGUCCUUUGGACAAUGGUAGGAGAGCGUUCUAAGGGCGUUGAAGCAUGAUCGUAAGGACAUGUGGAGCGCUUAGAAGUGAGAAUGCCGGUGUGAGUAGCGAAAGACGGGUGAGAAUCCCGUCCACCGAUUGACUAAGGUUUCCAGAGGAAGGCUCGUCCGCU